rnacentral:rRNA from 1 species
CCUACGGGCGGCAGCAGUAGGGAAUCUUCGGCAAUGGACGAAAGUCUGACCGAGCAACGCCGCGUGAGUGAAGAAGGUUUUCGGAUCGUAAAACUCUGUUGAUAGAGAAGAACAAGGAUGAGAGUAACUGUUCAUCCCUUGACGGUAUCUAACCAGAAAGCCACGGCUAACUACGUGCCAGCAGCCGCGGUAAUACGUAGGUGGCAAGCGUUGUCCGGAUUUAUUGGGCGUAAAGCGAGCGCAGGCGGUUUCUUAAGUCGGAUGGGAAAGCCCACGGCUCAACCGGGGAGGGUCAUUGGAAACUGGGAGCCUGAGGUUCAGAAGAGGAGAGUGGAAUUCCAUGUGUAGCGGUUAAAUGCGUAGGUAUAUGGAGGAACACCAGUGGCGAAGGCGGCUCUCUGGUCUGUAACUGACGCUGAGGCUCGAAAGCGUGGGGAGCAAACAGGAUUAGAUACCCUGGUAGUC